rnacentral:rRNA from 1 species
AUUGAACGCUGGCGGCAGGCCUAACACAUGCAAGUCGAGCGCGAGGCGGACGGGUGAGUAAUGUCUGGGAAACUGCCUGAUGGAGGGGGAUAACUACUGGAAACGGUAGCUAAUACCGCAUACCAUCAGAUGUGCCCAGAUGUGAUUAGCUAGUUGGUGGGGUAACGUCUCACCAAGGCGACGAUCCCUAGCUGGUCUGAUAGGAUGACCAGCCACACUGGAACUGAGACACGGGCCUGAUUCCUACGGGAGGCAGCAGUGGGGAAUAUUGCACAAUGGGCGCAAGCCUGAUGCAGCCAUGCAGCGUGUAUGAAGAAGGCCUGCGGGUUGUAAAGUACUUUCAGCGAGGAGGCGUUACCCGCAGAAGAAGCACCGGCUAACUCCGUGCCAGCAGACGCGGUAAUAC